rnacentral:rRNA from 1 species
UACGUAGGGUGCAAGCGUUGUCCGGAAUUAUUGGGCGUAAAGAGCUCGUAGGCGGUUUGUCGCGUCUGCUGUGAAAACUCGGGGCUUAACUCCGGGCCUGCAGUGGAUACGGGCAGACUAGAGUCAGGUAGGGGAGAACGGAAUUCCUGGUGUAGCGGUGAAAUGCGCAGAUAUCAGGAGGAACACCGGUGGCGAAGGCGGUUCUCUGGGCCUGUACUGACGCUGAGGAACGAAAGCUAGGGGAGCAAACAGG